rnacentral:rRNA from 1 species
AGUGAACGCUGGCGGUAGGCCUAACACAUGCAAGUCGAACGGCAGCACAGUAAGAGCUUGCUCUUACGGGUGGCGAGUGGCGGACGGGUGAGGAAUACAUCGGAAUCUACUUUUUCGUGGGGGAUAACGUAGGGAAACUUACGCUAAUACCGCAUACGACCUACGGGUGAAAGCAGGGGAUCUUCGGACCUUGCGCGAUUGAAUGAGCCGAUGUCGGAUUAGCUAGUUGGCGGGGUAAAGGCCCACCAAGGCGACGAUCCGUAGCUGGUCUGAGAGGAUGAUCAGCCACACUGGACCUGAGACACGGUCCAGACUCCUACGGGAGGCAGCAGUGGGGAAUAUUGGACAAUGGGCGCAAGCCUGAUCCAGCCAUACCGCGUGGGUGAAGAAGGCCUUCGGGUUGUAAAGCCCUUUUGUUGGGAAAGAAAAGCAGCAGGUUAAUACCCCGCUGUUCUGACGGUACCCAAAGAAUAAGCACCGGCGAACUUCGU